rnacentral:lncRNA from 1 species
UAGAAGGCAAUCCGGGCCGCUACGGGGACGUCACGGUUGGCGAAGGUAACGUCACGGUCUUUGAGGACCUCGCGGGCGGAGGAAGGGGAGUUGAUGACGACGCAGGUCAUGCCGCCGAGGCGGAGCUUGAAGAUUGGGCCAUAGGUGUGGGCCAGGCCGGCGAAGUAGGAGUGGAGUUCUGGAUCGAGAGAAAGAAGGUUACCGAGUAAGGGCAUUCCCAAUGGGCCUGGGGGCAAAGGUGGGAUUUUGUUGCGGGACUUUUUUUUGCACAGCCAUGCACACCAGAUGGUUGCGAAAAUGGCUGAGAAAGUGGAGAGAAGAAGCCAACUCUCAUCAUUUCUGGUACUAGUUUUGAACGAAUUCAUGGCGAGCUUCAAAUUGGUUUUUGAGUUUUGUGUGAAGAAAUAAAGGGAGAAGGGAAGGACACUGUGUAGUGCUAGUGAA